UCUGGGACAAGCCCUGGAAACGGGGUCUAAUACCGGAUACGACACACGACCGCAUGGUCUGUGUGUGGAAAGCUCCGGCGGUGAAGGAUGAGCCCGCGGCCUAUCAGCUUGUUGGUGGGGUGAUGGCCUACCAAGGCGACGACGGGUAGCCGGCCUGAGAGGGCGACCGGCCACACUGGGACUGAGACACGGCCCAGACUCCUACGGGAGGCAGCAGUGGGGAAUAUUGCACAAUGGGCGAAAGCCUGAUGCAGCGACGCCGCGUGAGGGAUGACGGCCUUCGGGUUGUAAACCUCUUUCAGCAGGGAAGAAGCGAGAGUGACGGUACCUGCAGAAGAAGCGCCGGCUAACUACGUGCCAGCAGCCGCGGUAAUACGUAGGGCGCAAGCGUUGUCCGGAAUUAUUGGGCGUAAAGAGCUCGUAGGCGGCUUGUCACGUCGGAUGUGAAAGCCCGGGGCUUAACCCCGGGUCUGCAUUCGAUACGGGCAGGCUAGAGUUCGGUAGGGGAGAUCGGAAUUCCUGGUGUAGCGGUGAAAUGCGCAGAUAUCAGGAGGAACACCGGUGGCGAAGGCGGAUCUCUGGGCCGAUACUGACGCUGAGGAGCGAAAGCGUGGGGAGCGAACAGGAUUAGAUACCCUGGUAGUCCACGCCGUAAACGUUGGGAACUAGGUGUGGGCGACAUUCCACGUCGUCCGUGCCGCAGCUAACGCAUUAAGUUCCCCGCCUGG
rnacentral:rRNA from 1 species